GCCCUCUCAGCUCAGUGGUAGAGCACUGGUCUCGCAAACCAGCGGUCGCGAGUUCGACCCUCGGAGAAGGCA